ensembl:lncRNA
CCAGUUUACUACCGUUUAUAUUGUCUUUAGGUUACUGGUAUAUAAUAAUGAUCAACCAGUUUACUACCGUUUAUAUUGUCUGUAGGUUACUGGUAUAUAAUAAUGAUCAACCAGUUUACUACCGUUUAUAUUGUCUAUAGGUUACUGGUAUAUAAUAAUGAACAGCCAUUUUACUACCGUUUAUAUUGUCUUUAGGUUACUGGUAUAUAAUAAUGAGUUUACUGUAGAGAAUACAACGUUAGUUCAUGUUUCACUGCUUUUCUGACCCGUGUGGUAAAUUGAACACUCCAUUCAAAAUUCAAGUGAUUCAUUUGUCUUGAUGCUAAUCCAAAUUAAAAGAAGGACAUAAGUCAUAUUAAUGUGCUGAUAUUUAAGUUAAAUAUGUGUGCGUAGCGACUGUAGUCUGGUCCUACCAGACUCGUACACAUUUCAUUUGUAGCACUGAAGGGAAAUUCAAAUUGAGCGGGAGUACUUAGACGGGCGGAGCCAGGCUAGCGACUGGGGAUCUACAGUUUAAUAGAUGUGGGUCUAACCACAGAUGGAGCCAUAGAGCGAGAGAGAGACUCGUUGGUCAUACAAGGAUACCAAAUCGAUGUGUUGCGCUUCACCAGUAGAUUUACUUUCUAUGGGAUCUGCUCUUUCCUUCAGGCCGGGCAGAUGUGUUGAG